GACGAUUCCUCUUCUCAUAUUCCUCUUUUCUUUUUUCUUCUCUAUUUAGCAUCAUUACCUUAACACUCUCGAGUCUCGACCUAAUUAAAAUUCUUAUAACAAUUAAAAUUGCUGCAAGAUCUCACAUAUUUUGAAUAUGACUACAAUCAGCUUGCCCACAUCUUUGUUGUAUAAGCAUUAAUCAUAGAAAUUAAACAAAUCAUACAAAGUUCCUUCAUAACAUGGGGCUGCCUCAUCAACUCUGUCAUUGUCUACUCUAACAGUGUAAAAAUAGUAUUGGAUCCAGCAGCAACCAUAUCCUUCACAAACACAGGCAAUUUUUCACAGCUGUAAAUUUCUCAAGUUUAUGGAAACUUUAUGGACAAUUAAUGAUCAUGGUUUUCAAUGUUGAAUAAGCUAAUCAUGAUUGGUUGACAUCAAGAUCUUUCGGAAUUUAGAGGAAAACGAAAACUUUUCGUUGCACCAAACUAAGAAAAGUACAAAAACUAAAACGGAGAUGGCUGUGUCCCCCAUUGUUGCAUCAGUAUCAAACAGAGACCCACCUUCUAGAGGUUCAUUGUCCUGUACAUUGAUGUUUCACUUCCACUAGAAGCAAUGUGGAAUUGCAAUGACCAUAAGAGGAUCUCGUCUGUUGAUUGUUAUUCCUGGGUUUUCAGGCACUUCAGAAGUCUCAUCUUCUGUUCCAUUGGGUAAUUUCCAGUCAAAUAAGUGAACAAGAUUUGCUAAUGCAAGCUCAGCAUUGAAUAAAGCAAAGGAUAUCCCUGGGCAGCCUCUUCUGCCUGCUCCAAAGGGAAUCAGAUGAAAAUCCAGGCCUUUGAAGUCUACUGUUGAGUUCAAGAACCUCUCUGGACGAAAUUCCUCUGGUUGUUCCCAGUAAGUAGGGUCUCUCUGUAUUGCCCACGCAUUGAUGAUUACUGUUGUCUUUGCAGCAAUGUCAUACCCAUUUAUUUUUGCGUCCUGAGAAGGUUCUCGAAACAGCAGCAAUGGGAGUGGUGGAUGUAGCCUUAGUACCUCCUUGAUCACUGCUUUCAUGUACUUCAUCUUUUCCAAAUCGUCUUCGGAUACCAUCAGAUUUUUACUGCUGAUUCCCCUUACUUCAUCUUGCAGUUCCUUCAUAACGUGGGGAUGCCUCAUCAACUCUGUCAUUGUCCACUCUAGCAGCGUAUAAGUAGUAUCGGAUCCAGCAGCAAACAUAUCCUUCACAAACACAGGCAGCUUCUUACGAUCGAGAUGCUCUUGAACAACAUGCUGAAGAAACUGAUCGAAUUCUUUAGCAACUUUCUCCACCCUUUUCUCCAGACCCGUCAGUUUAUCAACCCAACCAAGCCAAGGUCUAUUAGAGAAGAUAGUAUCAUGUGUUUUCAUAAUCUCGCAAGCUGCUUGAGCAGACGCGAUCACAAAGGAGGGAGUACUACCAAGGUAAAUCAACAUCACUUCUCCAUAUCGCAUUGAUAAUGAGUGCAGUGAACG